rnacentral:rRNA from 1 species
UACGUAGGGUGCAAGCGUUGUCCGGAAUUAUUGGGCGUAAAGAGCUUGUAGGUGGUUUGUCGCGUCUGCUGUGAAAAUCCGAGGCUCAACCUCGGACUUGCAGUGGGUACGGGCAGACUAGAGUGUGGUAGGGGAGACUGGAAUUCCUGGUGUAGCGGUGGAAUGCGCAGAUAUCAGGAGGAACACCGAUGGCGAAGGCAGGUCUCUGGGCCAUUACUGACACUGAGAAGCGGAAAGCAU